rnacentral:lncRNA from 1 species
UCCAACAAUGUUUGUCACCUUGUUUUGGUACUCUUUGUAGUUUUUCAGCUGUUGGUUCAAUGUUAUUGCAUUCUACAAUAAUAUGAUGAAACCAUAAAAUGUUAUUAAGUAUUCCGGUUUGACUAACUUAAUAGCCGGAUUAAACAUGGUUGAGGAGGAGUUAAUUAGUUACGUAAAAUAUGGCAGUUCCGUCGUCAUAACCGGAAGCACCAGAGGCGAAAUUGGCUCCGGUUAACAGAUUUGUCCCAUUAGCUUCUUGGCUAAGAUACGGCACCGGGUAAGAAGUGAACCCUAAACUCUCAGCUGCUCAACAACAAACAAAAGCCUAAGGAAAUUAAAUGAAAUGAUAUAUAUAGAUGGUACGUACUAUAACGUAAAUAGUGAAUUAGGCUGGUUCGAACCGGUAAAGUCUGUGGCAAGUUUUCCGUUAGAGAAACGGCCAGUGGCAUUGUGGGCUAAGAAGUCACGUCCAUAGGGAGGAAAAUUGGCUUUGAUGAGGGUAUUGAGGCGGUUGUUGUUGCCGGCAUCGACAACUGAAUCUCCCAUUAUGAUUAGAGCCGGUACAAGUGGCUCACCGGUCCCAACGCCGGCGUAGAAACAGGCGAUAACCGAAAAGGUCAUCAACAUUAUAAUAAACAUCUUCAUUUUCUGUUUGAAAUAAUGUAGUAAAAGAUAGAGAUAGGAGUGAGUGAAGAGAUAGGGUUUUAAAGGAAGAUAGAUUAAGGAAAUUACAUUCAUUUGUUUGAAGCUUGCAUGCUUCGGUAGUAACGUCGUAUUGGAAUUUAAAGAUGGUAGACCUUAACACGCAAUUCAUCCACAAGAGGACAUACGACACCUCUCACAUUUUUCAUGCAAUCACAACAAACAAAUUAAAGGAUUUUUUUUUUUUUGGUUUUAUAACUAUUUCGGGACUCAUUUGUUAAAUAGGUUUUUUUUUUUUUUUUUUUUGUUAAACAGUUUAUCAUUCGUUGGGUUUAGUCAAACGAUAUACAAAGAGAUCACAUGCUAAAACAUGUGAAUGAAACUAAGUUUCACUUAACUUUUACUUCCUAAAUUCAACAAACCUUUAUUGUUUUCUUUCUUGAGACUCGUCCUACGUCAUCUCCUUUUUGUCUAGACCUAAUUAAUGAAACCAAAAUUCUAAUUUGCUUACGUCGAGUAUAUAGACUGAAUUCGGUUAUCCUUUUUUUUCGGUUAUCCAUUAAUAUGCUUUCAAGUUUUUUGGUUUAUAGAUCUAUUGUUUCGUUAUAAACAUAAUAAGUUGCUAAGCUCCAUUUUUUCGUUAUUUUUACAACUCACAACUAUAAAGUAAAUAUGAAUUUAUAUAAACAGAGUAAAGUGCACUUUAUAUAUUAUUGAUCAAUAUGACAACCAAUAAUUAAGAUUGAUCGUCUCUAAGCAUCAGCAUAUAGAUAGGAUAAAAGUAUUAAAAAUUAAUUUGUCAUAGUAUAUUAAACGAGUUGAUGAGAGCUACAUUAUUCAAAAUAUGAGCAGUAAAACUGGUUUUGACCAUGUGAAUAUUAUUACAGUAAUCUUUGAAUACACACACUGACUUCUCAAAGCCAUUAACACCAAACCUUAGCUGUUGGGUUACUGUUGCAUGACCACUUUUUCCGGUUCAGGCCCCAAUUGGGUAAAGUGGGCUUUGAUUUGGAAAGAACAGAGAUCGGGUUUACAGUCAAUCCGAACCGAUACGAUGGAUUAAGAAAAAAAUCCGGUAUGGACUGAUUUAACUGAACCAUUCGGUUUCGUCCCGUUUCCUUAGUUCACUUCUCUCGUCUAUCCCCAGUCGUCGCCGAUUCUCUCUUACCGGUGUCAACUCGCUCCACCGUCGGUAAGUUCCACGAGAACCAAAUAAGGUUUCCAAUCUCAAUCCAAUUCCAAAUCAAUUUCGAUUCUCGUAGAACUAGUCCAGUGAAUCAGUUUUGCUAUUCAUACUCUGUUCUCUUAUGAACUAAGAUUACUAUCUUCAAUUCAUAGAUUAGGGACACACUUUGCAUAGGUUUUGGUGAAUUAGCCUGAAAUGUUGUUUAGUUUUCGAAUUGAAGUAAUUGAAUAGAUGCCUAGAAGGCCAUCAGGGAGAAGAAGAUUGUCAAAGUAUAAACCUUUAGCAUUUUCAUCGUUUAUACGUUCUCUUGCCUUUGCUUCAACGGCUAGACGUAAAUUGCCUCUUCCGGAUAUGUCUUUUGGUUAGUAGUAACCUCAAAGAUUGAGACUUUCUCUAGACAGAACAUCGUAGCGACUUGAUGAGUAUGUCUCAUUCUUAACUUUGUAGAUGAAAAGUUCCAUAAUUUGUCUAAGAAAGGGAAAGAGAAAUCAUCGUUGGAAUCCUCUGAUGAAGAAGACUCUCAGGUAACCGAUUUCGUGAAGUUACUCUGCUAUUGAUUUCUUUUAUCUUUUUGUUACGUUUUAAUUCGUUGUUUGAUCUUUGAAGGGAGAUGUCCAAGCAGGUUUUGUGGAUUUGAUACUGAAUCAAACAGCGUUAGGAACUGUGGUAAAAGUAGCAGAUGAUGAGGAUGAGGCAUUAUUUGCUCUUAUCACUGCUCUUAACUUGGCAAGAUACAAGGCAAGUCAUGUAGACUCACCUCUAUUAAGUGAACUUUACAUUUAUAUAUGCUUAAUGAUCGACUUGAUCAUGUGCUGUGUAUAUGAUUUCAUUUGCUUGUUAAGCUUGUUGAAGUAUUAAAUGAUGUUCAAAGGUGUUUAUUCGUAUUUGCUAUUAUGCUUAUGGUGAGCAAUCUAUUAACAACCGAAUGAUCUUUUUUUGUGUGUUCAGGAGAAUAAGUGCUUUAGAGAGCUAAAAGAGUUUCUUCUUAAAGUUUGUUCGGAGAAGAAUGUAGCGAGUGAUCUAGAACUACUCUUAGAGAAAAAGGCCAAAGAUGUUGGUUUAUUGGUCUCUCAAAGAGUGAUGAAUCUUCCUCUACAACUCCUUCCUCCACUAUAUGAUGGAUUGUUCGACGAAGUCUCAUGGGCCACUGAAGACGAGGUUUGAUCUUUCAAAGUUAAGUUUAGGCAAAUUCUUUUCUUAUGAGCAAAUUAAAGAUCUUCGAAAUUUAUCAAUUUGUAAGUUUCUGUUUACAGCCUACAGAAGAGCUUCGAGGGUCAUUCCGCUUCAAGUCAUAUAUUCUAAUCGCUAAGAUCUACAAGGUAAGUGUUCUGGUAAGGUUAUUUUUUCCGGUUCUCGAAUUCUCUUUCUUGUUUCAACAAUGUCGUGGUGAAGAAGAGAACGAGGAACAAUAUAACUUAAGCCUGAAGAUGAAAUUUUUCUCGAGGUACUUAUUCUCACAUUACCUACUCGACUUCCCGUCUGUUAGCAAAAAAAGUUAUACCCUAAACAUGUGUUACAAAAUGUAUUGCAGCUUAGCUCUUGGUCAUUCAUAUUACCUAUGUACUCGCAGCUUGUUACAUCUCAAGAGGUAAGUUAUCUCUUUAAUGCCAACAUACUUUCCCUGGAAUCACAAAAAUUUGAUUCAAGUGUUUCAGGUUUGUAAUCUUUGGUUAUAAUGGCGAUUGGCGAAUCUAGUAGUUGAAGAAUUGUCAGUGCUGGUCGUGGAGACACAAAAGAUUCCUGAAUUCAGAAAGAAGUUGAAGUCUCUCAUUGACGAACAAUAAUGAACAUCUCUUCUUCUUAAAGAUUCAGCUCACCGGUCAGUUGUUAUAGAUCUCUGCCAGUUUUGAUGAGGUUAUUACAGUGCUAUUUUUUGUCAUUCUCAGGCUUUCUUCCCCUGCAUAUUAGUGGAACUGAAACAUUGGUCUACUACCUUUUCUUUUUUUUUGCUCAAGGGUUUAUAUGAAACAGUGUGAAAUGCUAUCAAUGAUUCUUAAUUGUAAGUGUUGAAGUUUAGUUAGAAACAGAUGUAGAUUGGUCUAUUUGAUUCAUAACACUAAAGUUAAAUGCACGAGUUAGUGUAAACUUUGUAUUUAUCUUAUAAAAGUAUGUGUAUAGAUAUACUCAAAUGAGACAUUUUCAGAAGAUGAAACAGUAGUGUUGACAAAAUAUACUCAAGUAUGUGUUAGUGGAUCACAGCGCGUUGGAAUACAGUGGUGAUCAUUGGGAAUAAACAAUAUAGUUGGCUAUGUAUAAAUGAUCUCAAAGCUAUGCAUGUUAACCAGAAAUUUCGAGCUAGAUUGUGUAAAUCAGAACCAAGAUUGUGAACAGCAAAUGUGUUAUCUACUCUCUUCGUCAACCCUUGGACUCUCCCAAAAGACAAUUUGCUUGUGAUGUUUUUACUUUGGUAACAAAUAGACUCUUCCAAAAGAAAGUCUUUGAGCUUGAAUACAAAGUUAUUUGCAACAGAAAAAAAAGAAAACAAACAAAAAGGAAAGUAAAACCAGAAAAAAAUGAAAAAGGAGAAAGAGACACAUGUUUUUUGCAGCUUUCGCAGUACAAAAGCAUCGCAGAAGAAGCUCCUACCACUUGAAGAUAUUUUUAUAAGAAAACAUAUAUAUGAUUUAUUUUUGUUUACAUAGAAUCUUUAUGUUUUAAAAAAAAAUAUUGGAUAGAAAAUAGUUAUACAAAUCAUAAUUCUUAUUUCUUAGUUGUAACUGAUGAACGAUUUGAUUAAUUUUAUUCACAAAACAUAGGUAAUCUAGUUACUUGUAAAUUAAUUUUGAAUUGAAAACUCAUAAAACUCAACAUAGUAACACAAUAUGAACACACGUUUUAUCCAAUCCAAACCAAAAACUGAUAUGAUCAAAUAUGUAUAUAAAAUUGUUCUAACUGGACCAAUCCGAAAUUGAUAUUAAAAUGAGAUCUUGUGAAGAUGAAACUGUUGGAAGAAUUAUCCCUAACAACAACAUAUUAUUCGUUUCAGUUUUACUUUGGUUAGUAUUUUUAGAUCCUAAAAAGAAACUCAAAAUUUUCCACAAAAAAGAGGAUUGAUUGAAAUCCAUAUAGCCUUUUUUUUGUAACAGCAAUACAAUAUUAUGGGUUAGCUAUAAAGAUGGAAAUUGUUUUUAUUAGAAUUUUUUUUUUUUGGUUAAAUUAUUGAAUUUACUUUGUCUACAUGUAUGUGUAAAUGUACCUCCUCCUCACUUUAUGUUGGUUACUUGUUGUGAGUAUAUAUUAUACGAGGAUCAAACCUUAACACAUGAGGGGACCUAGCACGACUCUUCGACACGUUAACCAAUCAAAUUUAGACAGCCUUUCUAUGUUACAAAGCCCUAAACUUUUAAAAUAUUAGAAUUUAUGUGUUUAUACGAAGGACCAGUAGACUCGGUCCAAGGGUUAGUAUGUUUCUUGCUUUCUCUUUUUUUUUUUUGUUACUACAUGCAACACGACAGGUCGUCUCUUUUAAUCGUAAGGUUAUUGCAUGUUGGUUUGUCCUCGAGAGUCGUUCUAAACCGAAGUAUGGCGGCUAAUAAUUUCCACUGCUGGUUAAUCACCAGGUUUGCGGCUUCGUACCGGUGAAAUAGAAGAUGUUAAUGUACUUAUAAAUCUAUGUACCGGUAGAUAUAAUUCGUUAGUUAAUGCGUGAUUUGAAUGAUGUGAUUUAUAUGUGUACCGUGAAAAAAAAAAUGUGUACCGUGAAAUGAAAAAGAAAUAACUAUGCUCGUACAUGUAGAAAGUAAUUACUUGUGACAAGACUUGAGUUUGCAUAAAUUAUAAAUCAGAUACAUCAAAUUUAUAACAAUAUUUUAUUUUGCAUGACAGUUUUGUUUUUUGAUUUUAGAUUUUUUGUUUUAUUUUUGGUUUUUGAUGAAAAGAGAAAUGAAACGAAUAUAAAUGAUCUUCAAAUGAGUUUUAGUUAAAUUUUAUGUAUAAGCAAAUAAUACAUGUACUUGGCAGUUGGCAGAGAGAUCAUAUGUUUGAACGAUUUUUCUUAAAUACGUAUUUAUGAAUUUCAAAACGAUUUUCAGUUUCAUUUUAUGACACAUACGAAGAGCAUUUCGAUGCGAUUCACACCCAAACAGUAAACUAAUUUUUGGCAAUGACAAAUAUAUUUAGAUUAGGCAAAUUUUUGAGUGAAAGAAGGGAGGGAACAGAACCGAGUACGUGUUGAUUGGUAAUAACAAGGGCCACUCAUUUUAUGAAUAAAAUACGCUAUAAAAAGUGUGUUUUACUGUUGGAAAGAUAUUUAGCCAUGAAAACAACCAUAAGUAGUUAAACACAACGCAUGGACAUUAUGUUUUACUGAAACCCUAAUACUCUACAUAAUGUUUUAGACUUUUAGUUCAAAACGAUUCAUACCCAAAUACUGACACCAAUCACCAUCUCAAUUUUGGCAAUAAGAAAUAUAUUUAGAUGUAGCAAAAUUUUGAGUAAAAUCAGGGAUGGAAUGGAACAGAGCACGUGUUGAUUUGUAAUAACACCAAACGCGAGGGGCCAGUCAUUUUAUAAAUAAAAAUGGUGUUUCACUUUUGGAAAAAUAUUUAGCUAUGAAAAUAACCAUAAGUGGCUAAACACAACACAGGCACAUUAUGUGUUACUGAAACCCUAAAACUCUAUAUAAUGUUCUAGUUCACAGUGUCUUUUUCAGGCAAAUCCUAAAGUCUUUGCAUGCCCUUGAUUUGGUAGCGAAUCAAUUUGCCUACGUAGGUGUACUGUAUAUACUUCUUUGUUUUUUCUUCAGUUUUUUCUUUAUUUAUUUUAGCUCUGAAGUCUUGGAAGCAAUAAUUACAUAAGAUUUUGUUAUGGCACAUGUGUAGAUAACCCUUAUCUUAUCCCUUUUUUUUUUUAAUUCACAAUGAAACCAAAACCAGUUUGUUUUUGAUCAAUUUUGCUUUGACUAUUCUUAAGCAAAAAUAAAAUAAAAUGAUUGAAACCCACAUUGAACUUAAACUCGAUUUCAAUACCUUUAGUCAUUGAGCUGGAACGAAAAAUGUUUAUGAUAUUUGGUAAUUUGUUAAUAAACGAGAAUCCAAACUAUGUAAUAGUAAUCUAACAAAAUCGAAACAAGUUACUAAGUUAGUCGUAUUUUGCUAGAUUUGUUUAUAUGAUAGCGAAUAUACAUGUAGAGAACCAGAAGUUGGUCGGCGUUGAGGAUAAUUGUAACAGUACUUAGCCGCUAACCACUGAAUUAAUGACACGUGAUCUCUCUUGAGUUUACCGUUGAAAUUAAUAUUUCCCACUUGCAUCUCUCAUUUCUCAAAGAUGGGUCUAUCAUUCAGGCUGUACUAUAUUCUUUAUACACCCAAAAUGGCCAAUCCAUUUAAAAAAAACUUUUCUCCAUUUGAACACUGAAUCAAUGUAGAAUGCUAAUUUCUUCUUGUUGUCAAAAACUAGACUGUUAAUUACUUAAUUAUACUUUUGCAACUUGCAAGGUAGCAAAAAGUAAAAUCUUAAGUAAAAAUAUGAAAAUAUUGUAAGCAUUUUAAUGAUUAAGACUUGUUAUUUAAUGGUUAUUCGGUUGAAUAUAGAUAUUUUUUCUUAAAACUCUUGACAAAAAACUAUAUCUCAUACCUCAUAUAUACAUAUAAUAAAUAUUUUAUUGAAGACUGACUUUUCUAUCUAAUAUGUUUCGAAUUAUAUAGUUUGUAGGCAGAGACAUUUUUUGUUUACCGCGGACAUGUCUACGCUAGUGAGGGAUUUAUACCCAAUAAAUCUAUAUUUUUGACGUUGAAUUUUGGAAUGUAAUAAAUAUAUAUAUAGAGAAAGGGUCCCUAUAGAGAAAUAUACAUAUGCCUAUUAGAUUUUUUUUUGAAAAUAAAAGGUGGUUGUUUGUCACAAUACCAGCCGUGAAAAUAGAUAUGAAUAUGAUCGCCGAGUAAGAAGAGGAGAGGAUCAUAUUUUAGAUGGUCAUCAAGGUCUUGUCACUUUGACCAGAACUAAAAAAAGUUUUCAUCGUUUAACUAUCCUUUUCCGUAUCUCCACGUUUAUCAUAUAAUAAGGUUCACUACAUGUGAUGUGACCUAUCAAGCCAUGUAUGAGGAUUUAAUGAUUUAUAUACUACAGCAACUUAGAUUUUAUUAAUUAAUCAAGAGUUUACUAUUUUUGUAGUAUUACAAUGCUAAACAUGAUAUGCAAUUAAUCUAGUUUUUAUUCUGAUAAUCGACAGAUCGUUAUCAAUACUUCUGUAAACUCAAUUGAUAUUUCGGAUUCAACUCAUCUUUGGCAGUUUUUAUUCAGAGUACGGAAAUUCAGAACACAAAUAAACAUGAGAUUACAUGCAAAUUUUCUUCUUUCAUUUUUGCAGUUUAUGACAAUCAUGAAACUAGCGUUUGCGUGCAGCGGUUUCUCUUUGUGCGUUAAAGAAGACGGCCGCGACAGGGAGACCAAGAUCAUACUCGACCGCAAAUUUACGAGUGUUGAAGUGAUCUCUCGAAGGGAUAUUAGGAAAGAUAACACGUCUUUGCUUCUGCCUGAACAGAACAAACACAAACCUAUGUAUCCCUAUGCUUGGCCUUGGCAAUUCAUAGCUCACCACCUCUUUGCCUAUAUUACAAUGCAAAUAUUUUUAUUUCUAUAUAACAUGAUAUAUGUAUAAGUAUUUAAAUUACAAGAUUCAUGAAGAGGCCUUACCAAACGUAGCAUCUGUUGUGCCGGGAAUGUUUGUAACGAUCCUAUUGAAACAUUCAACAAUACUAAUAUUAUUACUUUACAGAAAAAGUUCUGAGAACUCAUGGCGAUGGAGAUCUUUGACCAACUCAAAUGUAUAUAACUUACACCCAAAAAAAACUUUAUUAGGGUUAUAACGAAAUGAUUUAAAUGCAAUGUAUAUGGAAUAUGGGCCCAAAAUGAAAAGAAAGAAUAAAUAAAUUAAACGUACCAGUGCAGGUGUUCUUUUAGAAAGGGGUCACUAGGACCUGGAACAUCUGGGUCUAUCAUCACCUGUUUUGCAUUUCGGUUGAGUUUUACCAUUAAAAAAAAAAGACUGGAAAAAGGAAUGAUAAAAACUAAAGCUACAAUUUAUAAGAUUAUUGAGUUAGAAAUGGAAAACUUGUAAGAGGAAAAGGAAGUGAGACGUUUUAUAUGGUUUUUUUUGGCACAAUAUAAAUAAAACCAACAUUAUUAUAAAAUAAUUUAAAUAUAUGUAUUUACCAAAGUGAAGAAGGAUCUGAGAUCACCACCAUGGAUCUCAACCCUAGGCUUGGAGGAAACAGAAGAAGGAAAGAGCUCAUGGCCAUUGGAGACUUGCUUCUUGUUAUAACUAACAUUCAUCUUAGUUGUUGGAGUGAAGAAAUCAAGAACAUCUCCUACCACUCUCCCCAUUAUCAAUGGCUCUAUCACUCUAGUUCCCAUAUUCUCCAUUUUCUUUUGUUAACUUAGAGGAAAAGAGAGAUUUGUAGUGAUUUGGGAGACAAAGAGACGACCGAGACAUCUAUUUAUAGGGGUUUUCCGUCUUAGAGAGAGAGAGAAAGAUAAAAGAAUCAAUAGACAUUAAUUCCCAAUUAUGUGUACUAACCUCUUUCUCUUUUUUUUUUCUUUUUCUUUUUCUUUUUGUUUGCUUUCUCAAACAUGUACACCAACUAUAUUAAAGUAAAUUUGGGGGGUUUUAAUAAGUAACUUAUUUUAGGUGAUUUAAAACUAUAAUUAUAUUUAAUUGAAUUAAGAAAUAUCACUUUUUUGGUAUUCACUAUAUAAUUACGUUUGACUUCUUCAGCAACAUUGACUGCUUCAGCAACAUUGGCAUAUCAUGCAUGGUUUCAAGUUUCAACCCCUAUCUAUGACCAAGACUUUAUAUAAAUACCAUAUCGAUCGCUAGAUUUCGUUAAUAUAUAGAAUAUCUUUUGUGUCACGAAGAACAAAACCCACUAACGUCUAAAUUUCGACAAAAUUCCUAGCUAUAUAUACCUCGGCGAAUAAAAAGCUAUUUUUAAGUCUCACUGGUCGAUGAAUUCAAAAAGAAUUUCAGUAGAACAUAUAAUUGGCCAAGAUUAAGAUAUUUGUCAUAAAAACACUCUCAUCGUACUUUGAUUCUAUUACAACUCCGGAUACAAUUAUUGCUCAGAGUAGGCCUGGGCAAAAAAACCGCUAACCGAUUAACCGAACCGAAUCGAACCGAAAAACAUGGUUCGGUUCAGGUUUGGAUAGCUUAAAAUAACCGGUUGAAUAUUAUAUGUCUUAGAUUUCGGUUUCGGUUUCGGUUAGGUUAAUAACCGAUAACCAAAUGAAAACCAAAGCAUAUAUGUAUGAUAGAUAAUAUAUCACAGUAUGUAUUGACACUUAACUAUGUUUUUCUCUUUAUUAGUUUGCAAGUUGAAUUUCGUGAGUUGUGAAUCAGGUGUUUUAAUAUUAUGGAGAGUAUGGACCAUCUUUGUGAGUUGUGAAUAUUUCUCUUUUUUACGUACGUUCUAUAUCGGUUAUUGGUCAAAUUUUUUGGUUGUUUCGGUUUUUAGUCGGUUAUUUCGGUUUUAGUUUAUUUAUGGUUACCAAGUUUAAUAUCCAAACCGAACCGAACCGAAAGAUAUCCGAACCGAACCGAACCAAAAUUCCUCAAAUAUCCAAAUGGUUCUUAUAUUACUAUAACCGAAAUAACCGAAACCAUGCGCAACCGAACCGAAACUGAAUGCCCAGGCCUAGCUCAGAGGCUAUUUGAAAGAAACAUAUCGCAGAUUUGGGACUCCUUGCUCGUGGAACGACAACGCAUUGUCGCAUUGAUUCUUAAAAAAACUUCUUUUUAUCGAAUCAAUAAAACCAACGUGAAGAACCGAUUCUUCAAAUUGGGAUUCUAUAUAUGAUUAUUAGUUACAAAACCUUAAAACUUCCGAAGAUUUUACGAAUGCAUAUUUCAACCAUAAUACUCUAUUAAUCUGAAAUACCAAAAGUGUUAUACAAAUCAGAAAAUCCGUAGACUAAUAUAAACACACCCAAAGGUUUUGUCCUAUUGAAUAUAAUGAUUAUUAACUUAUUAUGGAUUCUCCACUAAAUAAUAAUUUAUUUAUUUUCUUAUAUUAGAAAGUCUUGAUUGAUGCUUUAUUAAGAUUUGGUAAUUAAUCAGAAUAAAGGCACAAAGCAAAAUAUAUCAAACUUAUAUAAAGUUGUCUACAACAAAUUCUCCAAACAAGACAACCCUUUAACAAUUUAGAAAAAAAAAAAAAGAUAAAUCGAAUUUUCAAAAAGAAAAGAGAAACAUCAAUGUGCUCAAUACAAGUAGACAACGUAUCAACGACAAAAAAAAAAAAAAAGUAGACAACGUAUCAACUAGCUAUUUAGCUUAGGUGAAGCUUAAUCCAAAAGAUGUAGCAAGCAACAACUUACGACAUGAGUCACGACCCCAAACCCCCCCAAAAGAAUCUUCUCUAUCCCCGGCCUCUGGUUAUUAACUUUGGCGACCCCAAAACACCUCUUUGACGAAGGAAGCUCUUUUGGCAAGUAAGAGCCAUAGAACUCAAAUACGAGAAGCCUGGUCACUAUGGUGACAAAGUAGGGAUGUUAUCAAUAAACUAAAGUCUACACUCGCUACAGUCUUAAGACUCUUACCACCACGGAUGAAAUCAAGGUUGGACUCAGAACGGACCAGGGUAGAAGAAAGUGAUUCUGAUGAGGUAUUAGCUGCUCUGGUUGGAGUACUACUUUAAUUUGAAGCAGAGAUUUCAAACAUUAGGGUAGAAACAUAUUUGCUUUCAAAUUUUAUCUUAGCCUUGUAGCUUCCUAUAUCAGUUUUGGUUGAUACAUUUCAGAGACAUUUUGGACUCGAUUAAAGCUUCGAUUUUCAAUUGGAAAAACCAAACCAAUAUAACCAUUCUUCUACGAAUCCAAGAUCUGUGGCGAUGGCAAGACCACACCACUGCUUACCCAAGUUAUAAACAUAACCCAAAACACAUGAUUCAGGUAGAACAAGAUGGAGAAUAGAGCAAAUUCUUGAUGAACAAUAUAAAAAAGGGAUGAAGAGAUUUUGAAUACCAAACAACUUAUAAAUCCAGCAGCAAUUGUCUUAAAGCAACAACAAAAUUAAGACUCCAAAUGCAUAAUCCACUAAUCCAAUCAAAGAAAGCAAAAGAGAAAUAACCAAAUGUUUUCUUGUUUCCGCAUUUUGGAGUAUGAAGAAGAAGAUCAACGAAGUCUCCUAGCUUCUCUCUCAGACUCGAGCAAGGUGAGGAUAUCACCUUCCCUCACUGGUCCUUUAACAUUCCUCAUGAUGUAACGAUCAGAGUCGGUAAACUUCACUCGAACCUGAGUAACCUGACCCCUUGAACCAGUCCUACCCAUGACCUUAACCACCACAGCGUGCUUGAUCUGAGAAUCCAUUCUGAUUCAAUCAACCAAAACCAUGAAAAUUCACAUUAAAACAUCAAUCAAAUGCAUACACAAUCAGUACACAGUUUCAUGUAAAGCAAUCAACUUUACAGAGAUUAUCACAAUCAGAAUUCCUUGUUAUGAAAGUUUCAAUCUUCAGAGUUUCUCAUCGUAACAGGAGCAACACUAGGGUUUCAAUUAUCUAAGAAAACAGGGGCUAACUUCAAAUAACAGAUUCGAUACAAGACAGAUUUAGCAGAAGAAAAUGUACAAGAGAUAGCAAUCGAUUCGAGAUACAACAGACAAGAUUUGUAAACGAUGAAGAUACCUGUAGAUGAAGGUUGACGGAGAUGCGGCGAUAAGCGUGAGAGGCAAAAACCCUAAUUUUACAGAGACGAAAGAAUAAGGGAUUUCUUUGCAUUUUAUAGGCCUGCUUAAUUUCGGUACUCGGUUUUCAAUAACCGAAUCAGUUCAGUUAUUUUAAUUUUGUUUUCGCCCAGCCGGUUCAAUAAUUUGGAUUGACCGAAUCCAUGCUUUUAUGUUUAAUUUACAAAUCCAAGCUUAAUUUAUCAAUUUUGUAUUUGUUUCAUUGCUUCUUCUUCUUCAUUUUUUUUUCGUUAAAGAUGGCGUUUUCAUUUACUUUGGUUUAUUUUUCUUUGGUUUCAAUUACACUUUACGAUAAAAUUAAUCACUGAAUUUUAAUUUAAGAAAAACAAGUUGAAUUUUUGGAAUAACAAAAAAAACAAAUUAAAAAAUUUGUAUGAUAAAUGUAAAAAGACAAAUUGAAUUUUUAGAAUCAUUAACAAUCAAAUGACGAGAUUUAGAAUCUGAUUAGUUCUCACGUCGUAUUCUAAAUUUAUCAUCCAAUGUUUUAUUAUUUAAAAUUUCGAAGAAAAAUAAAUUUCAAAUAAAAAAACUUGUAUGAUAAAUCUACAUAACAAUGUAAAAACAAGUUGAAUAUUUGGAAUCCUAACAAUCUAUGACGGGAUCCAAAAUCCGGUUAGUUUUCACAUCCUAUUGUAAAUUUAUCAUCCAUAUUUCUAUUAUUUAAAAUUUUAAAAACUAAAACUAAAAAGAUAAUAAGAAAAAUAAAUUUCAAAUAAGAAACUUGUAUGAUAGAUCCACAUAACAAUGCAAAAAAACAAGUUGAAUAUUUAGAAUCGCUAACGAUCAAUGACGGGAUCCAAAAUCCGGUUAGUUCUCACAUCGUAUUGUAAAUUUAUCAUCCAAAUUUCUAUUAUUUAAACUUUUAAAAACUUAAAAAAAAAAAAAAAAAUUGUGUGAUAAAUCUACAUAACAAUACAAAAACAAGUUGAAUAUUUGGAAUCGCUAACGAUCAAUGACGGGAUCCAAAAUCCGGUUAGUUCUCACAUCGUAUUGUAAAUUUAUCAUCCAAAUUUCUAUUAUUUAAAAUUUUAAAAAACUUAAAAAUUAUAUAAAAAAGUUUUAAAUAAAGAAAUUUGUAUGAUAAAUCUAUAAAACAAUGUAAAAACAAGUUGAAUAUUUGGAAUCGCUAUCGAUCAACGACGGGAUCCAAAAUCCGGUUUGUUCUCACAUCGUAUUGUAAUUUAUCAUCCAAAUUUCUAUUAUUUAAAAAUUAAAAAUGCUAAGAAAAAAAUUAACUUUAAACAAAAACUUGAAUAAAAUUUGCAAAAAAACCUUUGAAGAGAAAUGGUUGAGAAUUAACCUGGCAAUGGGCUAGUCAUUGUUUGAUGGGCUGGAAUUGUUGUUGUUGGGCCUCUGAGAGCACGCUCAUGUGAUCAUCUGUUUCCGUUACCGCCUUACCGGGAAAACGAAUCCCCCAAUCUCCGACGAUCGCUCCACCUCCUAAAUCUGUCGCCAUCUCCGUCUCCGGAGAGAACCUCCAACAUCAUGACUCCUGAAGCCGCUAACUCCUUCGAAUCGCCUCCGUUUCUCUCUGUUUCUACGGUGAGAUCAUCACAGGCAAACAAAUUAAGAAUGUCUCUCUGACGUUUAUAUGAGACGACGUGAUGCUUGUGUGUGUAUGAUCUCUCUCGUCUUAUUCAUAGCUUUUUAAGAGAACAGAGAGCCGUUGUAUAUAUGAUGAGUUUUUCUUGGGCCAGACCAACGAAUGAUUCUUUUUAAACGAAGGGAGAAGAAAGAACCAGGGCAUCAUCAUCUCGAAGAAGAGAAUUGAAAUCAGAGAAAUUGCGUCUUUAGACUCGAGGAGAUAACAGGAAACGAGGUAUAUUUAUAAAACUUAUAUGUUUAAGAAUUGAGACUCAAGUUCCCUUUUUUUCUUCCCAAAGUUUCCUUUUUUCCUUUUCACUUAGGGUUUGUUUAAGUCCAGACUCCAGAGCAAACACCAACCUUAGGUUCGGUGAUAAUCAAUCUAGCCGUUAUACACGGUUCGGGUUAAACCUUAGAGGUUUGGUGAUAAUCUAGCCGCUAGACUCAAGUUUCCUUUUUCCCCUUUCACUUAGGAAGUCCAGACCAACCUUUGGUUCCGUGAUAUAUAAUCUAGCCGUUAUACGGAUUAAAAAUUUCCAUUUACUAGCUGAUACGCUCCUAUAAAUUGUAUUUUGAUUGUAUUACUACUAACGCAUUGCUUCUCAUUUUGAUCACGUUGAUCUAUUGUUUUGCAGAACAGGGCUAAGAAGAACAGAACCAAAGUAUAGCAGUCUUAAAGAUUUUUUCAUGGUUUGAACAAAUAAAAUCACAUUGAUAAAGAUGCUUCCACAAUACCUCAACAACAGAAUGAACAGAAGCAAACACCAAAAAGUCUUCAUAAACAUUAUCUAUAAAGAACAUGAGAUAUGUGUCCCAAAAAACAAAACAAAAGAGAAAACCAAAGAAAGAAAGUGACGAGAUUUAACAAAUUAUGUUAAUAUGUAGUCAGGGACGACUUUUUAGCGUUGUUGAUCUUACUAUUUUCACAGACAAAAGAAGACCAGAGCCCAUCCUUCUUGUAGUUAUCAAACAAAGAAUCCAUGAGCCCUACACGUUGCCUUGGUGUGCUCAGUGAUCUCAUCUUUUGCCCUUGCAGACUCUGUCACACUCAUGUAAGGCUGCAAACCAUCGGAGCUUUGAAACCAGCUCUCGUCCUCCACUAAUAGACUCUGCUCCAAACGGCUGAAAAAUCUCCUUAGGAAAGAAAAUGGAGAGUCUUGUCUCUACAAAGUUGUAAGCUUCACUUUUGUAGGAACAAGCAUUUCACUUGGAAUGAGAAAUUAGUUUAUGGAUUUUGCAGACUUGGAUUGAUCACCCCAAUGUUCCAGCCGACAGCUUCUCAUCCCCAUAUCUUUAGUGUACAAUGACUCCACAAGCAUAUGAGGACUUCUUCUCUCCUACCAAACUGUUAUAUGUAAUCAAAUGCUCUGCUUUUGGUGUAUCUACAAUGUCUAAACAACACAUUAAGGAUGAUAUAGAACAUUUAUUUCUUACUGGAAAUAAAAGAACAAGUUUUGCUUAUUACAAUAUACCAAAAUACAGAAAGAACAAUAACAUUUUGAGAAACAGACACAAAGAAACAAAAGCACAAACUCAUAUCUCAACCCCUCUCUCCCCUUUCCUUCUUCAUCUUCUUUCUUUCAGAGCCUUGAGACAUUGAUAGGGUAGUGAGCUACAAUGUGAUUAUAAACAGCAAGUGUAAGAAAAUCAUCAAGCUCAGGUGCAGUACACUGCUUUGUAAACAUCUUGCAAGCUUCCUUAUACAUUCCAUUCUUAAACUUGUCUUUCCCAACUUCUUUCUCAAUUCUUUCCAUCUCUUCUUCGACAACUCUCCCAAACAACUCUUUACUCACUCGAACUCCAAGCCCGUCUCCAUCAAGUUCCACUCCAUACCUAAUCCAUUGCCAAUUCUGGACACGGCUUAUCUCAGCCGUAGCAGCAUCUUCCAUUAGGUUAUAGAGUGGGACAGAUCCUGAUCCUGUUAACCAUGCGGCUAAGUAUUGAAUUCCUACACGUGUGUUCAGCCUUAAACCCUCGAGUGUACGCACUCCUCGCGGUAUUUGAAGCAGAUCUUCCUCUGUUAUUGCGGCUGCGUCCUCGCGCUUCACUGAUUUGAUUUGGUUUGGACUUUUUCCCAUGUGACCAGUGAAUGCUUCCAUGCAGAUUGGGAUGAGUCCUGGAUGAGCCGCCCAUGUUCCAUCAUGCCCUGCUCUUACCUCUCUCAGCUUGUCUUUCCUCACUAGAUCCAAUGCCAUCUCAUUCGCUUUUGGGUCAUCUCUUAUCGGAAUCUGAGCCGCCUGAUCAUCAUACCACCGAACAAAUCAAAACAUUUUCAACUUUAUUUAUAAUGUUUUCACAGAGCAUUCAUGUAGUUUGAAAGAGACAUAUAGUGAACUAGUGUUAAGAGGGGACUAACCAUGCCACCCAUGGCGUGGACACCGCGCUUAUGACAAGUACGGAUGAGAAGAUCAGAGUAACUUCUCAUGAAAUGCUGGCCCAUGCCAACUAGGACACGGUCUGGUAAGAGCCGGUCAGGGUGAGCUUGGAAGGUUUUGACAUAGCUGAAGAUAUAAUCCCAUCUUCCACAGUUUAAACCGACUGAGUGAUCACGUAGUUCAUAGAGUAUCUCAUUCAUCUGGAAGACAGCCGGGAGGGUCUCGAUAAGCACAGUUGCUCUAAUGCUUCCUCUCUCUAUCCCAGCCAUCUUCUCAGCACGCUCAAAAACACUGUUCCAUAUCUUUGCUUCCCUGACAAGAAACCAAGUAACCUAAUUAACCCUAGACCGAAAAACAUCAAUUUGAUGACCGAACCAGGAAGGUACCUAGAAUGUUCCAUUUUGGGGAGAUAGAAGAAUGGACCGAAACCGGAACCUUGAGUCUGUCUAAAUUUGGCGUAGUUGUGGAAGAAGUAAAGGCCAAAAUCGACAAGACAUCCAGUGGCGGGUUCACCGUCGAUGAGGAUGUGAGCCUCCGGGAGAUGCCAACCUCUUGGCCGGACAAAAAGCUUAGCGGUUUGGUCGUUGAGCUUGUAAACUCUGUUCCUUGACUUGUCGUGGAACGUAAUGGAUCCAUCCACUGCAUCUUUCAGGUUCACAUGCCCUCUCAUCAGAUUCUCCCAGCUUGGAGACAAAGCGUCCUCGAAAUCAGCCUGUUCAAACCCCAACACAAAAUUUACUUAAUUUGGUUAGUUUAAACCGGAUAUUAUAUACAGCAGAACAUACCAAACCAAACCAAAUCGACUUGUAUCGAACAUAGAUAAAAACAGAACCGGAUCGAAAUACACCAAACCAAACAAAUUUGAUAUUAACUAGCCUGCCAGACCAACUAAAUUUGGUCAAUUCCUCUGAAUAGUAAAUUCAGACAUAAAUAUAACAAAACCAAAUUUAAACUGAUACCAAAUUGAACGCGGUCCAAUUAAAAGUUUGUUACAGUAUUAUUCAAAAGUUUCACCAAUGUCGGUCAAAUCCAAUCCAAACCAACUAAUGUGUUGUAUAAAGAGAGAGUGAAAGAAAAUGGACCAUAAAGACUUUAGCUCCGGAGUUAAGAGCGUUGAUGAUCAUCUUCCUCUCGACCGGACCGGUGAUCUCAACUCUCCGGUCAGCAACGGCAGGAGGGACGGAGGCACAGCUCCAAUCACCGUCUCUGAUGAACUUAGUGGAAGGAUCAAACCCAGGAACGGCACCGGAGUUAUAACGCCGUCUUGCCUCUCUCCGGCACUCCAUGGCAUACUUCACAUGGCCACGAAACUCUCUCUGUAACUCAGCCACAAAGCUAAGAGCUUCUCUCGUCAAAAUCUUGGCGAAGAUUUGGUCGUACCGUCCUCGAACCUCCACACCAUCCGGAGAAUCAUAAACGGCGACGUUUGGUCGAUAAACUGAGGUCUCGAGCUCCAUAUUUAUUUUUUUGUCUAAAUUUUGUAACGUGAUAUAGUGAUAUAUAAAUGUGAUCGUGUAAUAUGAAUUAUAAAGGUGGAAAUGGAUAGGUAUAAUCGGUGAAACGCAUUGACAUGUGUGCCUCCUUGGGAAAGUGUGCCAAGUUCUGUAUGAUUUUCGUCACUAUAUCGGUUAGGAUAGGAUUAUCACAAAUUUUCUAUUUAUAAUAAUAUCCUUUUCGUCACCAUAUCGUUUUCAUCAUCCAAUACCUCUGGCUCUGCAUAAAACCUAAAACAGUUUUAGUUGUCAUGCAAAUUAGUUUACUGAUUGCUUCUAUUGGAUGAUGAGACCAAAACAUCCUUGUUAACGGAUUGAUUCAGAUAAAAUCGAGGCACUGUUUUGGGUUCAAUCCAAAUGUUUUGAAAUUUGGUCUUAAACUCUUUUUUUUUUUUUUUUUUUGUUAAAGUGGUCUUAAACUCUUAAUAUCCCAAUAUGAGAUAUUGAGAUACAUGAAUGGGAGAAGUUUAAUUUUUAUCAACAUGCUGUAAGAUCUGGAAUCAAUCGGACUUGUAGGUGUGCUUGGGCCUUGGAAUUACCCAUCCUCUAUAACUUUAUAUUAGCCCAUUUAUAAAUUAGUUCUACUGGGUUGGUGGUGUACUGGUGUUCACCAAAUCUAGGAAAAUUAAUAACUGAUUGAUUCAGAUAAAAUUAAUUCUUGUAAAGACAACGGUCAUUAUUCUUAAUUCUUAUUUUUUGACUGCAUGAUAACGAUCAUAUUAACCUAUUAAGGGGAAAACUAAACUUCACAAAGAUAAAGAAACCAAGUAUGACUCUCCUAAUAUUUCUCCAUCCUUGACUAAAUAUAAAAGUAUAAAACUAUCAUGAACAACUGAACAAGGUUGCCAAGUUAUAUACUAUACCGGUUUAAUAAGUCAAAAGCUAUUUCAUCCAUCAGUUUUAGAUAUCUUGAGAGACAAGUGCACUAACAAAAUAAUCGUAGCCCAAAGUCCUUAAAAUCAUUGAUAUUAUCUUAAUUAUUCAGUCACGAAGCUAAACACCUAAUGAGAAUCUAAAUUAAACAAAUCUGGUGACAAAUUCUUAAUGAAUGAUACCCAUUGAUUUGAAUUGAAUCUUAAAAAUGAAAAAGGUUUACAAACAUUAGAAACAAAUUCCAUUAAACUAGUAGUAGUACACACCAAGAGCACUAAACACGGCUUUAGAAACUCUCUCUCACCAAAUCAUUACAAACCAAAAUCAACCCUUCAAAAGUCAGCCUCCAGAAUUAGGGCAAAACUGAUUCUCUUUUUUAAGAACAAAUUGGACAUAGAACCAAACCAUUCUCAUUACACUUCAAACACUUAACCAUACUCUUCUUCUCUUCCUCCCUAACCUUGCAGCUUCCGUUGCAAACAACACACAUCAUAAAUCUCAUUCCUCCACAUCCACGGCAGCAACUGCCUCCAAGCCUCGCCGCCGGAAUACCUUCAAGUAAUAUUCCCAAUUUGCCCUCCUCUUCUAACCUCAUCACUUCCUCAACACUUCCUACCAUCCUCCCUUUAACGAAUACCGCAGGUAUCUUCACAUGUUUCGUUCCCAUAAUGCCCCUGAUCUCUUCCUUAAAAACCGAGUGCAUCGACACAUCUCGCUCUGAGAAUCGAACUUCGUGUGAAUCUAAUAUCGAUCUUACCACAUUACAAUCCUCAAACGUCUUCCGUAUCCCUCUAAGAGUUGUUAUGUAGAUCACCACAGAGUGCUCUCCUCCCGGUGGACAUUUCUCUGGGAACUUCUCAAGAAUUCUCUCUGUUUUCUCUGUUUUUCUGCUCUCGUGCACCACCGGAGAAAUCACCAUCUUGAUCUGUUCUUUCUCUUGAGACAACUCUCUUUCGUAAGAAGCCACAAGAUCUGGAUCAAACAUUGGACUAUAACUCUUCCUCCUCUGCGUAACCGUCACCGAAGAUUCUUCAGAUUUAAGAGGAAAACUCAAACGCAUUACACCUCUCUUCGGUGUUUCAAGAAUGUUCUUCGGCUUCAGAAUCUGAUUCGGACUCACACCUCUCGAAUUAUUCUCUUUCCCUCCAAAUCUCUUACUACUUCCUCUCUUCGGAGAUUCAACAACCGAUUUCACCGGAGUCUUCCAUGAUUUACCGAAAAUACCACGAGAUUUGGGACUAAUCUUCUGUGGAUUAGAAACGUGCAUUGAAUCUUCAAGAUCUUCCAUAAGCUCCCAAGUAUUGAUAAUCUCCGGAUCAUCUCUCUUAAUAGAUCUUCUCGGUAUGAUUUCAGAUUCAAAGACUUCGCCUUUAGUAACUUCCAGUGACUUAGGAGAGGUCUCUGCUCGUUCAUCGAGAUCGAGAUGACCAUAAGUAGUUGAAGUAAGAGAGACAAUGUGAUCGCCGCCAUUGUUGACUCUAAUCUCUCUUAUGAGUUUCUUCUUGCCUAGUUUCGAAGAAACACAACCCAUCUUUCUCUCUCUCUCUCUCUGUCUCUUGUUUUUUUUUUACUGAGGAAAGUUUUUAUUUUUGGGAAGAACAGAGAGAUUGAAGAAGAAGAAGAGAGGAGUUAUUUUGUUUUUGUUUUUAAAACAAUUUAAUUACUUUCAACGGUCAUAUUUUUCGAACGGACGUUGUGGAAGUGUAAGUGGAUCGAAAGAUUUUUGUCGGAAGUCCCUGAUCUUUAUGUUUUAUUACGUUUUAAUCGAAUAUAUCCUUAAAAUGUUAUGAUUGGACCUCUGAUGGUAGUACUUAAAACUCCUGAUUUAUUUCAUUUUUCUCCCUAAAGUAUUUGUUUGUUUAGUUUUGACCCUGUGACUCUUUUAUUUCUUUGUCCUAGAUUCUUUCAAUUGCAGACUGCAACGGUCUAUUAUUGUACGUUAAGCGAACGUUAAACGCUUUCCAAUUUUACCUGUCCUUAUGAAUUUAUAUAUUUCAAUUACAAAAGUUGACCAUUCUUAAUUCUUUAUUGUAUAAACUUAUACGUAAAAUUUGUUGAAAUAUUUUGAUAAAAUUGUUGGAAGCAAGCUUACUUAAUAAUAAACAUAUAACAAUUUUGUGUUAAAACCUUCUCAAUGUAUAUGAUUUUUGAUGAUAUCAAUAAAUUUUGUAAAGGUAAAGAUGCAAAAUUGCAAAUAAUUAAGUUACGUGUAGCAGUUUUAUUGUUAUUUUUUACUAAAGAGGGACAAUAUAUAGAGGAAAAAGGAGGGCAUGCUAAUUUCAAAGUAAACAAAAAAAAAUAGAAAAUCUAGACCAAUACCAUCACCCAAGAUUGCACUUUAAAUUAAAAGAUUGAUAAUAAUAACAGAAUUUGCAUAUCUGAAUCAUAAUGCCACCAUACAGAAACAAACCGUGCUUAGCCUUUUUCAGUCUACCUUUUGUAAAAGGCAUUCGUUUUAAAAUAAAAUUUUAUGAGGCACAACAAUAAAUUGAAUUUAUAUAUAGUACAAAGAAAUAUUAGUUUUUGAUAAUCGUUAUUUCUUGACCCUACUAAUGUUGGCACAACUAUAUUUCCCUCCAUUUAUGUAUAAAUUGGAUUUUCUUAGCUUAAGAUAUCGAUAAAAAUGUAAUCAUAACAAGCAAUUAACAAACAUUAUUCAUAACAACAAGUGCACAAAACGACACAAUUCAACCACUAACAACAAACAAACAAUUUAUAUGGCCAUAUUUCGAAACUUUAGAUUUGAAUUUCCGAAUUUGUUUUAGUUUAUUGGUUAAAUAACUAAUUUUGGAAAAAUCUAUAUACAAAAGGACACAGAAAAAGAAACAAAAGAUGAUCCAAAUUAAAAUUUAAAUAAAACGGACCACAAUGUGUUGACUGUUGAUAGACUUUUGUAAUCAUAUAUAAUCCGACUCGGACCACUUGUAGUUCUCGGACAAUCAGCAUGUGCCUCUUCCAGUCUCUUUUCAUCCAUCCCAUGAUUUUGUCUAUUUAUUUAUUUUACCAAAAAAUCAGCUUUAAAAUGAUAGAUCAUCAUCACCUUCAAAUUAUGUACACCGAAAAUCAAAACUUGGAGGAUUAUUGUCACAAUUCCUUUACUUAUAUAUAAGUACAUGUCUUCAUUUAAAACCUCUACAGAUAACUGCGUUCAGUUUAUUGGGGGAACAGAAAGUAGGCUGAACAUACACACAACAAUUAACAUAUAUCUAUACGGUAUAAAGUGAGGAAGACGAACACUUAGGCAGCAUAAGUUUGCUUGAGAUACUCAACAAUUUCUGCACUCUCAAACAUCGCGACUCCAGUGUUUGGAUCUUCCAGGUAAGGCACCUAUAACAACAUAACACGACCAUCAGUGUCAACAUACUUUAAACCUUCUCCUCUCUUUCUCUAGGUAUGUAUUUCUCUAACUCACCUGAAAGUGACCAGCUUUCUCAAGCAAUACCUGCCGUUUGGGGCUACCACGAGCACAACUGAUGAAAAAGAACAAGUAAAAGGGUAGUAUCAAUAAAAGACUGACUUUGAACCCUUGAAGAACAGAUGGUGGAACUGGUCUAAGAGACUAAGAGUCUUCUUUUUGUGGUUGCCAUACCUGCGCUGAAUGUGUGGUAACUCCAGUUCUACAAGAACUUCGCGUACAAGCUUACAAAACGGAGAACCCU